rnacentral:rRNA from 1 species
GAUGAACGCUGGCGGCGUGCCUAAUACAUGCAAGUAGAACGCUGAAGGAGGAGCUUGCUCUUCUGGAUGAGUUGCGAACGGGUGAGUAACGUGUAGGUAACCUGCCUGGUAGCGGGGGAUAACUAUUGGAAACGAUAGCUAAUACCGCAUGACAACAGUUAUUGCAUGAUAACUGUUUAAAAGGGGCAACUGCUCCACUACCAGAUGGACCUGCGUUGUAUUAGCUAGUUGGUGAGGUAACGGCUCACCAAGGCGACGAUACAUAGCCGACCUGAGAGGGUGAUCGGCCACACUGGGACUGAGACACGGCCCAGACUCCUACGGGAGGCAGCAGUAGGGAAUCUUCGGCAAUGGACGGAAGUCUGACCGAGCAACGCCGCGUGAGUGAAGAAGGUUUUCGGAUCGUAAAGCUCUGUUGUAAGAGAAGAACGAGUGUGAGAGUGGAAAGUUCACACUGUGACGGUAUCUGACCAGAAAGGGACGGCUAACUACGUG